rnacentral:rRNA from 1 species
AACGAACGCUGGCGGCAGGCUUAACACAUGCAAGUCGAACGCAUCCUUCGGGGUGAGUGGCAGACGGGUGAGUAACGCGUGGGAACGUGCCCUUCAGUUCGGGAUAACCCAGGGAAACUUGGGCUAAUACCGGAUACGUGCGAGAGCAGAAAGAUUUAUCGCUGAGGGAUCGGCCCGCGUCUGAUUAGCUAGUUGGUGGGGUAAUGGCCCACCAAGGCGACGAGCAGUAGCUGGUCUGAGAGGAUGAUCAGCCACAUUGGGACUGAGACACGGCCCAAACUCCUACGGGAGGCAGCAGUGGGGAAUAUUGGACAAUGGGCGCAAGCCUGCUCCAGCCAUGCCGCGUGAGUGAUGAAGGCCUUAGGGUUGUAAAGCUCUUUCGUCCGGGACGAUAAUGGCGGUACCGGAAGAAGAAGCCCCGGCUAACUUCGUGCCAGCCGCCGCGGUAA